rnacentral:rRNA from 1 species
AUGCCCUUCACAUACCUAGGCAUCCCCAUGGGCACAACUAAACUAACCAUACAUGAUGACAUGCCUCUGGUCUGCCGAGUGGAAAGACGUCUAUCAGCAACUCUCAACAUGAUAUCAUAUGGAGGCAAACUCACUCUGCUCAACUCAGUCAUAACUUUCCUCAUAAUCUUUGCCUUGUGCACUCUAAAACUGCCAACUGGCAUCAUUGAACUCCUGGACAAGAUACGUAGGAAAAGCCUUUGGACAAAGAAAAAUUACCAAGGUGACACAUGUAACUCACUUGCGUCAUGGAACAUGGUAUGCAAACCAAAAUAA